GGCGGGGGGCGGGGCUCUUAGCUGCUGGGGAGGUGGGCUGUUCUGGGGCUGAACAAACCUCAGGACAUUCCCCCUGCCUCAGUUUCCUCAUCUCGAAAAUGGAGUUAGUGGUGAAGUUCUAAGGUUCUGUCUGUCUCCUUCCCUCCGGAUUCCUGGCACACCCAGCCCCAUCACGGGGUUGAGAGCAGUGACUCGGCAGAAAUGAAAGCUCAAGACUGCUAGCAACCGAAUGAGGACACACGGUCCAGGAACAAGCUGUGGAAAUAGGAUUGUGCCCGCCUCCAUCACUCCAGUGCCUCACGUGUAGAUUCGUACUUCUCCUCCCUGCAGCCUGAGAUUUUGUCAGAGAAGAGAAGAGGAGAUUGGGACACAGACAUGCACAGAGGAAGGAUCACAUGAAGACACAGCAAGAAGAUGGCCGUCUACAAGCCAAGGAGGGAGAAGAAACCAACUCUGUCUAUACCUUGGUCAUGGGUUUCUAGCCUCCAGGAUGGAAGAAAAUAAAUUUCUGUUGUUUAAGCCA